rnacentral:rRNA from 1 species
GACGAACGCUGGCGGCGCGCCUAACACAUGCAAGUCGAACGAGCGAGCGAGAGCUUGCUUUCUCGAUCGAGUGGCGAACGGGUGAGUAACGCGUGAGUAACCUGCCUCAAAGAGGGGGACAACAGUUGGAAACGACUGCUAAUACCGCAUAAGCCCACGGGUCGGCAUCUACCAGAGGGAAAAGGGGCACUCCGCUUUGAGAUGGCCGCGCGUCCGAUUAGCUAGUUGGUGAGGUAAUGGCCCACCCAGGCGACGAUCGGUGGCCGGACUGAGAGGUUGAACGGUGACAAUGGGAAUAAGGCACAGACAAGAAUGCGACGGGAGGCAGGAGAGGGGAAUAUUGCAAAAGGGGGGAAAACGUGAUGAAGCGACGCCGGGGGGAGGAGGAAGGGCGUCGGAUAGUAAACUCGUGUUGUUGGGGAAGAGAAUGACGGUACCCAACAAGGAAGUGACGGCUAACUACGUG